CUCUGUGACUGCGCUGUGCCCAAAGAGCCACCAGGGGGCACUCUUCGCUGUUGAAUGCCGCCAGAUGGAACAGCUUUCCCGGGGCAACGGCUCUUAUCGAGGGGUAGCAGGCAGCCAAUGGCCCUCAGUAGAUAGCCGGCUGGUUGUCGAGCCGUGCCCAAUCGGGGCGCCCGCGGGUCACAUUUAGGGGCCCGUCUGGAGUCCUUUCAUGCUAAAUUGGAUGAAGGCAGAAGCACUGGAGCUGAGCGGAGUGGAGAUGUCACAGCGCUCUCCGGCCUGUGUGCGGAGGCCAGACGCUUCAGCUCCAAGAGGAGAGAAAGAUGAAUGAGUCCGGGUGCCGUGGAAUCCAGUGGCGGUGGAGAUUCUGUCCUUUUUAGCUUCCAUAACCGCAAUCCCACCUCCAAAAAGCAUUCAGCGCUGUAAAAAAAAACCCCACUAUUUUGAGCUACAACAAUACUUUGGGAUAUCAUACACUCACAAAAAGAAAGCAUGCUACAAACCAGCAAUAAGGACGGAUAAAUCCAUUUUUUUUUUUUUUAGAUAAGCUGUGUUACGUGUGGAAGAGGAACCUUUUUUCCCUCGACUCUGCUGCUGCGAUAGUGAGGAGCACCUGCACAUAGAUGAGAGGAGGGCGCCUCCCUGUAAGCAGGCAACAAAGCCAAUCUCCCACAGGACUCUUUCUGCGACGUCCCGCCUCUCUUUGGAGGUGUUGUACAGUCGCACAUCCGUCAGCAGAGGCCGUCCCAGUGUGUCUCGCAGCUCUGCACUGGUCCCAUGAAUAAAUCUGUGCCUUCCUGCGCCCUGAUGCCUCUGAGAAGCGACUUGCACGUCGUCUCACGCGGUAAUGACUCUCUUGUCAUUCAUUGUGCACACAGAAGAUCCCUCAGAGCGGUAAAACAUCUGCUCGGCGUCUGGAGUUUCCGCGGAGGAAAAAUCAGGGACAAGUAUGUUCUGCAUGCAUCCCAGUCAAUCUCCUCACAUUAUUCUCGGCACGUAGGCGGAGGCACCUCCCAUGUCUCACAUAGAGGAGGCUAUCUUAGGUUAGCAUGAAGAAAUGGUUAAACACAUUAAUCUGUCUCAAUCAUAAAAUAGUCCCAGCUCAGUUGUAAACCACUAAUUGAUGAUUAAAUAUUUGUUUUUUGUAAAAAAAAAAAAAAAAAGGUUCUGCACUGCACUAUUUCUAGAUUGAGCCAGAUGAUAUAAUAAUAUUAAACAUGUAUAUAUUUUUGAGGGCUGUGAAAAUGAACGCGUUGGUCUAAUGUGGGAAAGCUUUUGGCAUUGGAAUUAAAACCAACCGAAGCACGACGUACAGCGUGUCAAACCGAAGGGGGGUUGAGGGACAAACAGGCCACUUAAAGCACCGCUAGGCUAAACUAGCUGCUAAGCUACUUCCAUCUCAACAGCCACCCUGCAGAGGACCACCACUGUGUCCCUAAAAGGCCGUGGUUUGAAGAUGUCCUGGCUAAAUGUGGGGAGAUUUACACAGCCGUUAAAAUGAUGAAGAGUUGAGAGCAAAGUGCACGAGGACAACAGGAAGAGUCGCUAGUUCAACAUGUUCCACCUCCAAGAUGGUCACAUGGUGCUACAUUCCUCGCUGGCUGUUGGUCAAACUGCACAGAGCUCGACAGCGAAUUAUCAGAGGCACAUUUUUAAAAAAGUCAAAGUCACACCUCCCUUUGAACCGCUAAUUGGCUGUUAGGUCGUUUAUGAUGAUAUUAAAUGAAGCGUGGUUGCUGUUGUGUUACUUAAAAUCAGUUUUUGUUCAGUGCUUCGUAGCAAAGGGUAACAAACAUACAAAGACGGAGCGAAAAAGGAACACAGAAUAUAGACGACGAUGGCGGUCCAGUUCAAUAGUUUUGCUUUCACCGGGAGCUCGGAUCUAAAAUGCAUCCCCGGAUGGACACCGGCACACAGGUCCGAACAUCAAAGGGCUCUUUCAUGUCGCUGGGAGGGACAUUACUGAGGCCUGGCUGUCGCUGCUUCUCAAUGCCACCGGCAGUAUUAAUGUUAUUAAGUAUUAAGGCUCUGUGGACACAAAAAAGCCAUUUCAGCCAGGAUUAACUAGAGGCUUGAUAAAGGAGCGGCCCUUUGAGGCAGGAAGGAGUGGCGCUGGGGACAAAUGGAUGUACCAGCUAAUGAGUCAAAUUAUGAAUUACACUGCAAACAAAAUAAUUGGUCUGAUGACUUUCAUGGAGGAUCCCACGCAGUACUUUUGUUACGUAUAACUCUGUAUGCCGUGAACAUCUUUGGGUCAAAUUCAAGUGGAGCUUGAUUCCUGUGGAGCUGAUUUAGUCAUUUAAAAGGCUUCGCAUAAUCAAUACUCAACAGGUAAUCGUGCGAGAGUUAAACUGCCUCCAAACCACUUUCUCAAUAUGGACCAAUUUUAUCCUGGUACGGAUCCUCAAUGAUUCCUCAUCAACAGCGAGCGGUGACAGAGCAACUCUGAAUUAGUUACGCUCAUAAAAGCCACACGAUACACACUAAUUAAUAAAGUGUCGACACGUUGCGUUGGAGCUGGCGUGUUAGGCACAGAAUAUACCGAUAAAGCAGCACGUACGCUCUGCGGAAUUUCUCACAUUGUCCCGUGCCAGUUUUAAAAGUCUGCUGUUGAGACACAUUUCCUCAUAACCCCGUUCCAUUGGACGUCUGGACGGAAAACUUAAAGCGCCGCUCAACGUCUCUCUGCGCAAUUCGACUGGCACUCUCCAUCCUGUGCCGCAGCCUCUGUUGUGCGCUGUGUUGUGUGCUUGUUGCGCCACAGCGGGGGAGGCAGGCAGGAUAAACAAAGUGGUGUAGAAAAGCUGUGGACGGCCUGGAGGCAGCAGCAGAGGAGAGGCUGAGGACUCAAGUGAACUCCACCCCGAGCAACAUCUCGCACCCCCUCUGUGGUGGGCCGAGAGAGCCAAAGACCAUCGCCUCACCAGGAGCAACGCUGGGCGCAGGAACUGCUCUCGUUGUGUAAUAACAGCGCACUUGUUGUUCCAAAAGGCGGCAUGACUUAUGAGCAAGCAGCUGUAUCUAAAUAAAACAAUUUGGGAUAUAAGCUAAUUUAUUUUCUUGCAGAGAUUAUGCUGAGAAUGAAUAUUAAGCUACAGGCGGCUGGUUAGUCUGCACACAGGGGGAAACAGAAAGCUGGUAUUAAAAUAUGCCUUGCAGCACCUCUACAGUUCUCUUAACAACAUGCUUCGUUAAUACCGACAAAAACUGUAAAAACCGGAAUGCGUGAGGUGCUACAUCGACUCCAGUGGAUACGAGUAAAUACCAGUGAGUAUACGAAUGCCCUGCUUAAAGCCGGGGAAUCAAACCGUAUAUCAGAAAAUGUAUCAGUAUGCAUUAUGGUUUAUUUUGGAAUAAAGUAUGUUGUACACUCGCCAUGAGCCCAAUUAGCUGCACUUUGCAGCCCGUUAGCAUCUGGCCGCCGAUAAGCUAGCCCACAUGCUGCCAGCGUCGCGUAAACUACCCUAAGUUGGUUCACGAGAUGCUCGCAGCGAUCAUGACACCUGGGGAUGUGCAGCCCCCCCCCUCACCGUUGGCUGCUGAGCUUCCUCUAAUGUGAACUUUGAACCUCGGAGGUUUUGUUUGUCGUCUUCUUCUGCUGUCGGCCCCGAUCGGACCACUGGCUCCUCUCCUCUGGUGUCGGAGCACAAAUCAAUGCUUCACUUCAAAGCCGGGCGGCCGUUGUGUGUUUGCGAAUCAUCUUCAGUUUGUCUUGUGGCUGAUGUUUGCUUGCUGUUAUGAAAGCGCUGGUUGUGCUGUUUUUGUGUCAAUAUGUCAGCGUCUUCCAGCUGUUCACGUCUGUUUGGACGCUGCUGCCUUCGCCAUUUGUGCAUGUUUGCAUUGAUAUUAAUUAAUUAGGGAUUUGCCUACUUUGCGGCGGCUAAGCUGCGUGUUGGUUUUUUGGCAGGUGCCUUACGAUGCUAUCGUGCUAUUGUUUACAUGGUUGGAAUUAAUAGGUUACUCCAGUUUGAUUGACAUAUUUCCCUGGACGUUACCAUUGGUUUGAAGGAUUGCUUGCAAGCUUGAGUCUCUUGUUGAGGUUUUUAUUGUUUAUUGGCUCUUAGGAUGCAAACAUGUAGUUAUUAUCUAGCACACUAGAUACACAUACAUACACAUAUUUAGUAAUAUUCGUUUCCUGGAAAUCGGUGUCACAUGUAGAAUAGGUGUCUGCUUAUCAUGUUAAAUCAAGUCAUCAAUGUUUUUAAAAUGUAUAAGUUGUUAAUUACCUGCUGCAUCUCAUCCUGCAGCGCGUUGAUUGUUAGAUUGGUCCGUCUUGGUUCACUGGAUUAUACAUUGAAUAAGUACAGUAGUGCUUCCCCAUAAUAGAAGUUCUGCAUUUAAUAUGAGUCAUAGUGGACCAUCUGUAUCCACAGCUUCUUUUCCAUGUUAAGCAGCAUGUGAUUAUUAAACGAUUGAUUUCAGGGCCCGUGUACAACAGUCUAAAGCCUAAAUAUUAUGUCAAUAAAUGUUUCCUGAUUCCGGA
ensembl:lncRNA